GUGCCAGCCGCCGCGGUAAUACGGAGGGAGCUAGCGUUGUUCGGAUUUACUGGGCGUAAAGGGCGUGUAGGCGGCCUUGCAAGUCGGGUGUGAAAUGCUCUGGCUCAACCAGAGAAUUGCAUCCGAUACUGCUAGGCUUGAGUAUAGGAGAGGAAAGCGGAAUUCCUGGUGUAGCGGUGAAAUGCGUAGAUAUCAGGAAGAACACCAGUGGCGAAGGCGGCUUUCUGGCCUAUUACUGACGCUGAUGCGCGAAAGCCGGGGGAGCGAACAGGAUUAGAUACCCUGGUAGUCCCGGCCGUAAACGUUGGGCACUAGGUGUAGGGGGUAUCGACCCCCUCUGUGCCGAAGCUAACGCAUUAAGUGCCCCGCCUGGGGAGUACGACCGCAAGGUUGAAACUCAAAGGAAUUGACGGGGGCCCGCACAAGCGGUGGAGCAUGUGGUUCAAUUCGAUGCAACGCGAAGAACCUUACCCGGACUUGACAUGCACUUGACCGGUGUGGAAACACAUCUUCCCUUCGGGGCAGGUACACAGGUGCUGCAUGGCUGUCGUCAGCUCGUGCCGUGAGGUGUUGGGUUAAGUCCCGCAACGAGCGCAACCCUUGUCCUUAGUUGCCAGCAGUUCGGCUGGGCACUCUAGGGAGACUGCCGGUGAUAAACCGGAGGAAGGUGGGGAUGACGUCAAGUCCUCAUGGCCUUUAUGACCAGGGCUACACACGUACUACAAUGGCCGGUACAAAGGGCAGCGACACAGCGAUGUGAAGCCAAUCCCGUAAAGCCGGUCUCAGUCCGGAUUGGAGUCUGCAACUCGACUCCAUGAAGUUGGAAUCGCUAGUAAUCGCAGAUCAGCACGCUGCGGUGAAUACGUUCCCGGGCCUUGUACACACCGCCCGUCACACCACGGGAGUUGAUUGUACCAGAAGUAGUUGAGCUAACCGCAAGGGGGCAGGCUACCAAGGUAUGGUUGGUAACUGGGGUGAAGUCGUAACAAGGUAACC
rnacentral:rRNA from 1 species